GGACGAUAAUAUGCCUUAUUGUUCCCUCUGAUUGGCAAAAAGCCUGAAGAGGGCGGGCGGUAGAUAAAAUCCUUCGCUCUCAUUGGUUCCGCCGCGCAGAGCUUUUGCCGCCCAAAGUUAUAUCGAGUUUGCGCUGUGAAGGGGCGAGGUGUGGGGGACGUCACCACCAACGGCCUAAAGGAGGAAGUUGGGCUUCGUACUCGAGGGGUUGCGGAGUUCGAGGCCCGCUUUCCCCAACUUUGAGGGGCAAUGACGGAGGAGGAAUAUGUCUUGUGCAAAUGGCAGGGGCGCCUGUGGCCAGCAAAGGUUUUAUAUAGAAACCCGACUUCCAGGAAGUCUGCUUCCAUGCGCGUUGAAAUCUUUUGCCUCCAGAAACAGGCUGAUGUGUCCUGUGCCGCUGUGCAACCCUUGAAGAAGGAGACUAUAGAAGACAUUGCCGAGAAAUUAG